AGAGAGAGAGAGAGAGAAUGAGCGGGGAAGGGGCAGAAAGAAAGGGAGACACAGAAUCCGAAGCAGGUUCCAGGCUCUGAGCUGUCAGCACAGAGCCCGACACUGGGCUCCAACUCAUCUCCAUCUCCAACGAACUGGAACUGGGAGAUCAUGACCUGAGCCGAAGUCAGACGCUUAACUGAGUGAGACAUCCAGGCGCCCCAUAUGUUGGCUAUUCUAAUUUUUCUUAUUACUGCUUAAUUAUCUUUUAUCUUACAUUUCCACCGAGGUCAUUUUGCUCUAAAUUUUGAAAAAAAAAAGUCUUCAAUAUUGUUUUCCAGUCUAUCCAUUUUUUUAUAGCAGUAAUAAUUUCAAUCACAAAGGGAAAUUUAUUAGAUUGUUUUCUUUUUACAGUGUCUCCUUUUCUGUUAUGAGUUUAUUCUUUUUUAAAACAUUUUUAUUUUAAUAAGGUCUUGGGAAGAUCAAGACUCCAAACCUUGGGUCUGUUUAGUUUGUCAUUUUGUGCAGAAGCUGAAAGUUUGGGGUCAAGAGGCUUGGUCGCCAACAGCGCUUGGGCUAUUCUGUCCUUGGUGGGUCAAGUCGUAGUCUGAGUGAUUUACUUUCAUACUCUCACCCAAUUCGGCUCCAUUGUAAGACACAGGUAGUAGUAUUGUCUUUGUUUUUAACGAUGAGAUAACAGGCUUAGGUCAAAUGACAUACCCAGGUUACACAGUUCAUAACUGGUAGACAUACAUUAAUCAUAGAUCUAUUGGUGACAAAGUUCAGUCCGUGACACUAGAUGGAGCUCAUCAUGUGAAAUGGCUGCACAGUACCCACAAGUAUGGGUGUGUGCGCGUGUGUGCGUGUGUGCGUGUGUGCGUGUGUGUGUGUAUUCAUUCAGUCAUUCUCUGAUGAAUAUUUAGGCUUUUUUCAGGAUUUGCUGCUAUAAACAAGCCUUACACAGAUAUAUGUGUACUGUGGGAAGUUUCUAAUGCAUCCUUCUAUUAUUGUCUAAAAGUAAGUCCUAGAAGUGAAUUUGCUAAGUCAAAAAUUACCCACAUUAAGACAUUUUUUAUGAUUUGACAAGCUGCCCUUAAAAAAGGGGGUUGCAGCAGUUGGCACUUGUACCAUCUCAGUGUGUGAAAGUAACCUGUUUCCCACUUGCCCACCAAUACAUUGUGUUACCCUAACUUUGCCAAUCUCAUAAAAAAGGAAAUGUCAUCUUAUUGUUUAACUUGCCUUUAUUUUCAUUUUUAGCGUGGCUAACCAGCUCUUCAAAUGAUCAUGGGUUAUUUAUCUUUCUUUUUUUGUGAACCGCCAGUUCAUUUUCUGCCUAGCUUUCUACUGAGACAGUGCCUCUGGCUGGUAUGGAUUUGUAAGUACUCUUUGGGGAUAGUAACCUUUUGCCUGUCAUUUAUAUUGCAAAUAUACUUUCCUGUUCACUGUUUCUAUUUUUACCUUUCCUUAUAUGUAAAAGGAGUUUUAAGUUAUUUAGUUUUUAAGUAUUAGUAUUUAUGUGGUCAAAUCUAUCCUAAUUAACUUUUACAUAUAUUUUUCCCUCCAGUGGAUGAAAGAGUGAAACCAACAUGUAAGUUGGUCCACGAAGAGUGUGAUUUAUGAUCUGAGUUUCGAAAAGAAUCAGACAACUCCACAAUCUCUUGGCCCAAUUUCAGGAAAUGGAUGCAUUAUUUAAGAUGGUUGCUCCCAGGAUAUAUGGAAAUUCAGGUCAUAGCUGAGUAGAGACCAGAUUCAUAACAAGACAGUUCGCCAGGCAAAUUUCCCCAGCGUUCGCGAGAGCUUGUGAGGCCUGGGCUGCAGAGAAUGAUUCUAAAUUGAAGCUCCAAGUUCAAGGAAUGUGAAUGAGGCACAGACUCUAUUUUAGGUUUUUCCUAGAAGAUGGAAUAUUACAACUAGAGGAGACCAUAAAAAAGAAUACAUGCCGACCUCCUUAUCUCCAUUAAAAAAAAAGAAAAAAGAAGAAAGAUAAUUGAGGCCAAGAGAGCUGAAGUGAUCUGCUCAGUGUGGCACCGUCAGCUGCAGCAGUAACAGAAUCAGACAAAACCAGUCUCCUAUCUGCUGUGCUCUUCUGUUACUGCACGUCCAGAGAGCAAGUGCCUAAUAUGUUUCUCGGAAAGAGUGACUCUAGCAGAACUGAGGAUGACCCAUUGAUGACCCAUCAAUGAACGUCUGUGGUUAUUCACAGGGAAGAUGCAGAGAGUAAAGAAUCAGAACUGAGUCACCACCAAGAAGUUCAAAACCCACAGAGCAAAACACUGGUGGAGUCAGGACCAGAAUGCCUCUGUUGGGCUAUGUUUUAUGUUCUAUUGUUUGGACUACGAGUUACCAAAACAGCUACAUUCUGUAAUAAUACCUCUUAUCGAGGGCUUUUCCAUCUUGCGGAGAGAAACAAAAUGAGAUGAAUUUUUGAAGUGAACAGUCAGAUUUCGGGAAGUCUAACCAUUGGUUCUUCCCUAUACUCAGGAUUCCGGUCUAGGAAAUAAAGCUAAAUUUUGUGGAAUACAUAUACUUGAACUUGAGGGCAAAUCUUUUCAGGAUUGAAGGAUGGACCUUCUUCAGGUCAUAGAGAACCUACCAUCUGUUCCUUCACUGCAACAUCCUUGCUUGGCCUCUGUGUGGUCUCUGGGUUUUUUUGUUUGUUUGUUUGCUUGUUUUUGUUUUUGUUUUGCAACUUGUUCACUUAUUAACCACAAGCUUCCAGCUGCUUAUACUGUGAAAUCUAAUGAGAUUACAAUAAAGCAGGUCCCAUGCACAGCCGUCAUUAUGCAGAAAGACACAAGAGCCUCAGCUAAACACACCAUAAAGGGUUUAUCUUAAGAUAUGAAUCCUUGCAAACAUCAGCUCAACGAUGACAAAAAGUUCUGCCUAGAGUUCUCUGCAGGAAAUAUUUUUGAUAUUGUUUUGACUUUAGGAAAAGAAAAACAACUAGACUUUGUGGGGGUUACCUAAGUGCACAGUGAAACUGCAAAUUCAGACUGAAUCCUGUCCUCCAAAUACAGAGUUCUUAUGUGGAAACAAUCUCAUUUUCAUUUUGCUUUCUGGGAAACCCUCCAAGGCACCGUGAACUGCCAGCUUUUUGUGACCUUCAGUUUCCUAACUGCUCCCAAGGGAAACUUGACCUUGGAACUGUGGAGAGGAGGGGAACAAGUUGGCGUGGAGCAGGGCAGAGGUUUCAUUCUCUCUGCUCAUUUCCCAGAGCAUAUGGGUUCUCCUGCACCCUUAGAGCCUCUGAGGGCAAGGAGAUGGGGACAAAAAGUGCAAUGCAAAUGCACAUUAACCCCAAUGCAAGGACACAUACAAGACUGUCACAUGGGAUGGAGACUCAGAUGGCCAGCUGGGAGCAGUUCCCAGGAAUAAGAAAACAUUCGGCCACCUGCAGAUGCACAACUGAUACAGGGCUCCUUGACUCCUCAGAGCAUCGUAGGACCGAAAUGAAGUUCAUAAGGCACAAGAAAGCUUCCUGUAACGUUAGCUGGCUUCCAUAGGUAUCGGGGACACACCCAUGACAGAUUCCCGAUUUGAAGAAGGACUUUCUUGGGUUUCCUAUCAUUUGGCAACUUCUUGACUCACAAGAUACCAUCUGGUCAUAGAGUUAACCAAGAGAGGAACUGUGUAUAUCAAGAGACGCUAUGGAGGCCCUGUAGCCCCUACCUACAUAUACUGUCCUAUAAGCAUAUAGCCAAUGAGAGGAGAGUGGUUUCUUAGCUUUUUCCCAGCAAGAAUUCCUUCCAUCUCUGUCUUUGCUUAUGGGCACAUGGGUUGAACAAAUUUGCCUUUAAGGCAGAUUUUAUUAAGUAUCAAGUAGUAUCUUCAUUUCCAUUACUCAAUGAAAAUCUAAUUAGAGUAACAUUACCACACUGACCUGAUAGAAUCUCCGCCCAAAGCAAAGCGAUCAACAUUUGAGUAGGUCUCUGAAGCCUGAGAACAGGCUAUGUAGUCAGUUGGCAUUUUUAAUUUCUGAAAAUAGCUUGUAUUGUCCCAUUCCCACCAUUUGUAAGCCUGAAGGAUCCAGGGAACUGCUUGUUUGUUAGAAAAAAAAGAGAGCAAAGAAUUUGGAGUCCUAAGCCUAUAGGACUUGUUAGCAGAGUGAUUCUGAGAGAGCAGUCACCUUUAUGGAGUCUUAGGUUCCUUAUCUGAAAGGAUGUCAUUUUACCAUGACACCCUUCUUACAGGGUUAUGAUGAAAUUAAAUAAAACCAGACUAGAAACUUUCGACAUAUUCAACUUUCCCAAAGAGAGAAAUUUGCAGAAAUAAAAAAAUCUGGGUACAAUAAGUGAAAAAAUUUGUCUCUGCGUUGCAUUUAAAUCAAACAAAUAAACAAAACAAUGUUCACAAA